GACGAACGCUGGCGGCGUGCUUAACACAUGCAAGUCGAGCGGAAAGGCUCCUUCGGGGGUACUCGAGCGGCGAACGGGUGAGUAACACGUGAGUAAUCUGCCCUGCGCUCUGGGAUAGCCACCGGAAACGGUGAUUAAUACCGGAUAUGACCGCUACACGCAUGUGUUGGUGGUGGAAAGUUUUUCGGCGCAGGAUGUGCUCGCGGCCUAUCAGCUUGUUGGUGAGGUAAUGGCUCACCAAGGCUUUGACGGGUAGCCGGCCUGAGAGGGUGACCGGUCACGCUGGGACUGAGACGCGGCCCAGACUCCUACGGGAGGCAGCAGUGGGGAAUAUUGGACAAUGGGCGGAAGCCUGAUCCAGCAACGCCGCGUGAGGGAUGACGGCCUUCGGGUUGUAAACCUCUUUCAGUACCGACGAAGCGAAAGUGACGGUAGGUACAGAAGAAGGACCGGCCAACUACGUGCCAGCCGCCGCAGUAAUAC
rnacentral:rRNA from 1 species